CCGACUGGAUCUUCAAGCGAAGCCAAAUCAGGAUCCCAGAGAACAGCAAGGGCAGCAAGAGCUCCAAGACUGUCACCAGGACCUUCCGUUUCUAGAGACACAGAAACGGCAGGGCCUCUGGAUCCAGCCGGGCUUCUGGGAUCAUCACCCUUUUAUAGACAAGAAAUCAGGCCUAGCCCAGGAUCACACAGCAGGACAAGCUGCAGAGGCACAUGGAAACCUGCAGUCCACGUUUUUAACCCCUUCAUCCCUGUCUAUCCUAAAGGCAUAAAAAGGAAUUUAAAGGAGAUUCCCGGAAUUACAAGAUCUGGGAAGCUUCCUGGUUACGAAAGCAAAUGUACAUGAGGAAAGGAAAUUAAGGUUCCUUGAAACACUCGACACUCUGGCACCAAGGGUCCUCGCAAGUGGCAGUGGCUGGUGUCUGAACCAGCCCCACGUCCUUCUCCGAGGCAAACACUCGGCAGGGCUACUCGGGAAGCCACCACCUCCGCCCACAAGAGCAUCUGAGAGCUUCCCCUACACGGCUCACUUCACUCCUCUGGGGCCGGGGCCAGGAAGGCAAAGGAAAGCUUUUUCCCAACUAAAAGGCUAUUUGCUAACUGUUAAAAUAUUAAACAUUACACAAUUGUUGAGUAUUUCAAUGUUUGCUCUUUAGGCGAGCAACUGAAUUGGCCCAGAGUGAGUGCAUACUGUGGGCUGCUAAUUUCUGAGAACUCUCUUGAUAUGGCACCUUAGAUUACUCUAAAAACAGUUUUCCCAGUAACUUUGGUUAGUUUAAGAGCCACGGGUUGUGCCAGUUCACCAGCAUCCACUGCCCAGUGGCCCUUGGUGCUUGACAAGGGUCUGGACACCGCUUCCUUACUUGUGGUUCUUCUCAUUAUGAGUUUGACUGUGUCUUUCAAUUCCUAUUGCCCAUGCAGAAGUUGUUCUUAUUUCUGCAUAUGUGGAACAGAGCGGCAUUAAUGCUUCCAGAGAGGCCACUGCUGAGCAGGCUGCAAGACCAGUGAGCGGAAGUGGACAGGGCCCCUGGUGCAGCACGCGCCCCUCUGCCCCCUGUUCCUAUCCUGAGCUCGGUGCAUCUGCUCCCAGGGAAGCCGAUCUGCACAGGCCAGGAGUUAAAAGCGGGUCCCAUGAAAGCCAAUGGCAGGCCCCAGAUGUCACUCAGAGCAGAUGAGCAUGGCUCUGCCCUCUUUACCACAGGUGUGGGACAGACAGAUGGCUUUGUUGGUGGUGCUGGCCCCAACUUGGCACUUGCCAGGAGGACUAGGUGGGCGAGAGCCAAUCUCAGCUAGGCAAGCUUUCCCUUGUCAACACAAGGAGUCCACACAGUCGGUGGUGUUAAAGGUCUGCAUGUAUACAUUGCUGAGGAAGGCAUGCUAGGCACCCAGUUAACGUUUGCCGGCAGAAUCUGUGGUUUUUUAGGAUAUACAACAGAUAAAAAGCAUUUACGCAUCCAGCAAACACUGGCCAAGUGCUCACUGUGUGAUGAGCAGGUACCAGGGAUUUGGAAAUGAAAAUCGCAACAUUCUUAACCCAAGGAGGGCACAGCCUGCAAAUGCUUGUGCAUGCAGUGACUGCUGUAUGCGGAGCCAAAUGAGGUGUCACGAGAUCCUGGAGAAGACUGGAAUUCAGUGUGUGUGUGUGUGUGUGUGUGUGCGUGUGCACGUGCGCACACAACGGAGCUCUGGGAAGGCUCUC